ensembl:lncRNA
GGGAAAAGCGGAAGCAAUUGUCCAAGGACCACAAAGCGGUCUAGGAACCCAGGGUGUCGCCUCUAGAGCUUUGGGGAAGUGGGGUUUCUCCCAGGAGGCAAGGGGUAGAAGCGAGGUAGGUGGCUUGGAAAAGUUCGGUAGUCGGACCUGGGCCGCAGAGGGCAAAGCGGCCACUCUUUCUGAGAGGCAGAGGUAGGUGGGCUCACCCUCCCACUCCGAGCCGGCCUGACCCUGGAUGCAGGCGGAAGGGGGGCAGCGGGGAGCGGAGGACUGUGCGGAGGCCUCGCUGCAGCUGCUGCACCCCCACCCCGCGUCGCCUCCCAGCCCUGGCUCCCAGUGCUCCGGGUUUGCUGAUGGUCCCGGAUGGACAGCCCGGAGAAGGCUUCCUGUGCAGGAAGACAUUCUCAUCAGAUCUCGUGUCCCGAAGCCCAGCGCUGCUGCCGGGGGUCUGACCCGGCCGCUCCGAGCACCCCUCCCCCGAGCCCUGGCUGGGCGAGAAACCGAGAUGGUGGCUGCAGAAACUGGAGCCCCGGCGCCGGGGCGACCGCGAGGGGCUGAGGCCUUUGAGAGCGCUGCCGCCCCUUGCCAAGAAAUUCUUCCUGUGGAAGACUGUCUUGCUGCCUACCGAAGAGCCUACCCAAGAAGUACUCCACUGUGCAACUGAACCAUCAAUCUUGUGCAACAAGAAGCAAGACAGGCCAGGCGUGGUGGCUCACACGUGUAAUCCCAGCACUUUGGGAGGCCGAGGUGGGUGGAUCACCUGAGGUCAGGAGUUUGAGACCACCCUGGCCAACAUGACGGAACCCCAUCUCUCUACUAAAAAUACAAAAAUUAGCCAAGCGUGGUGGCGGGCUCUUGUAAUUCCAGCUACUCAGGAGGCGGAGGCAGGAGAAUCUUUUGAACCUGGGAGGCAGAGGUUGCAAUGAGCCAAGAUGGCGCCAUUACACUCCAGAGUGAGACUCUGCCUCAGGAAAAAAAAAAAAAAAAAAAAAAAGGCAGUAGCAGCAAGACAGUCUUGUUGCCUACCUAAGAAGACUGCUGGAAAUCUCCAGUCUUCUUCGCUAACAGACCCUGAUCUUGUUCAGGCAACCAUGUGCCUAGAGAUUUUGCCAAUGAUCAGUUGAGGAGUGGUGUAAUUCCGACCAAGGAGAUGUUAAGAGGACAUCUUCUGGGAAAGCUUUUUCUUCCUGAAAAGAAGAAACGAGAAGCAAAUGCUCCAUGUUAUGCCUUCCUCUUUCCUCUUGUUUGGGACACUAUUGUGUGAUGGUAUGAUGUUUGGAGUUGUAGCAGCCACCUGGUGACCAUGAGGCAGCGACAAAGAGGAGUGCAGAAACAUUGAUCCAGAACCCUGGCAUAAGUGAGGGUCUAAACAUCCCUCCUUCCAACUUCCCGUUACGUGAGUAAUUAAAUGACUUUACUGCUUAAGACACAACUAGUUGGAUUUUCUGACAUUUGCAGCUGAAGGACUCUUACUUGAUAUAUUUUGUGAGUAAAGUUUUUAUUUUGGGAUAAUUGUAGAAACUCUAAAUCUUCAUGAGAUUGUGAAGCACUUGAUAUCCAGAUGAUGGUACAGACCCGCCUGGAGCUGUCCUCUCGAGUGGCCGUAUCAUGUCCACUUAGAGUGCGCCUCAGGGAGCUUCUGCCUUCUCUCCUUGUUCUCAGUCUUCGGACCUCUCGACACUCCUUUAGGAAAAAGGAAAGGGCUUCCUCCUCUGGGCCUCUGAGUCAGGCUGUCAGUCAGUCCGUUCCAUGCAGCUUUCCCCCACUGGAGCUAGGGGGAGAAGGCUUCAGGUCCCGGAUUAUCUUCUUAACAACCCAUGAAAAAGGCAUUGUUGCUCCAUUUUGUAGAAAAACUCAGUCAUGUUAGUAAAAAACCUGAUCAAGAUCACACGGUCAAUAACAGAGGAGCCCCACAACCUGGUCUUCCCAAAGUCACAGUCCUUAUACCUCAAUACCUGACCUCCCUUGGGCUUAAAUCAUGUCAGUAUCAAGCAGGUGAUGUGAACAUUGCUUUGGAUGGCGGCCAUGAAAAUGCCCCACUCAGAUUUCCUACUGCUGGGAGUGUCAUCGACCAAGGCCUCAGCUCCCAAGGCCAUGCUUCCUAUGGGCUUCCUUUCACCCAAGGCUGAGCACAGCAGGGGUGCUAAGACAGGACCAACCUUGGGAGAUGCAGGGCUCCUCUGAGGACAUCUUUAGCUCAAGGACUCCCAGUUGGUUCGACCAGAACUUUGCUAGAGCUGUGCUGAGUCUGAGACUUUGCUCAUCCAACCCUCCUUCCCUCUCUCUCUUCCUGGCAAGGGUCACACCUACAGCCUGGUCUCACAGUUCCCGCCUCUGCUGGCUCACUUCCCUUUUCCCUUCACAGAUGUUUUCCCCAAUAAAUCUCUUGCAUAUCUAAUCUUGUCUUGGGAUCUGGCUUCUUAGAGGACCUGAAUUAAUGUGCUUUGAUUUUUAACCCUCCAAACUCAACCUGGCAACCUGUCUGUAAAGCACCUGGCACAUACUAAGUUCUCUUCUCUUUUCCUCUCAGAGUGUGGGUGUUAUGAGUGGCCAAGAUGUGAGGCUGUUUCUGUCUCCAGUGGGAGCAAGGUGGACUGCCCUGUGACCAGAAGAAUAUGCACAUACCUGGAAACCUACGCAUCCUGAGGUUCAGAGAGGCUGAGGGACUCACCCGAGGCCACACAGCUCAUGCCUGAAUGCCCACACAGAUACACACACAGAUGCAUGGGAUGGGGAGACAAAGUCGGGGUGGAGAGACAGGGUCAGGAUGUAGUGUGGGGCAGGCAAAGGGCAUGAGGAAAGCAGCCCCUUCCUGCCCCUCCCUGCUGACUUCCCAGGCUGGUCUGUAUGUUUUGGUGUCAUGGCAACUGGCUGUGGGGGCUGCAUGUGGAAAGUGAAGCUUAACCUUAAGACACUGUGGGGAGCUAAAUGGGCCUAAAAGAUACCAGGUCUGUGAUUUUCCAGCCUCCCAGCCUUGCUCCAGCCUGGAGAUACUGCCAGCUCAGCCCAGCCCCCAGUCAUCAGGAAAUGCCUUUCUCUACUUACUCUUACUGCCUAUCCAGCCCAUUGGGCUCACUUGCAUGAUUUUACUAACUGAAUCUGGAAUCCUCUCUUCUCUUCUUGUUUGUCUAAAUCCUCUCUCUCUCUUAGAGUUAAGUUCCAGUCCCACAUUCUCUUGGAAGCCUUCCCCGAUUUCCCCAGCUCAUGGAGCUCUUUUCUUCCUCUGGUCACAGCUAGCAGUCACUGCACUAUCUGGAGCACUCACCUUAUGGCAUUUCAACUUUGUCCCCAUGCAAUUCAACAAGCUCCUAAUAUGUGCUGGACAUCGUGCUAAGUGCUGUAUGUUCCUGCGGGUAUCUUGGGGGCUAAAUCUACUCUAGGCUCAUGGCCGGGUGAGGUGGCUCACACCUGUAAUCCCAGCACUUUGGGAGGCUGAGGUGGGUGGAUCAUGAGGUCAGGGGAUCGAGACCAUCCUGGCUAACAUGGUGAAACCCCAUUUCUACUAAAAAUACAAAAAAUUAGCUGGGCGUGGUGGCGGGCACCUGUAGUCCCAGCUACUUGGGAGGCUGAGGCAGGAGAAUGGUGUGAACCUGGGAGGUGGAGCUUGCAGUGAGCUGAGAUCACACCACUGCACUCCAGCCUGGGCGACAGAGUGAGACUGUCUCAAAAAAAAAAAAAAAAAAAAAUCCACUCUAGGCUCGUUAGACUUCAGACAGGGAGCCCCUGACCGUCUAGCAUUUAUGGACCAUUUAUGACCAGGAGAGGCUCCCAUC